GGAGGAUUGACCGAGUGGCUAAGGAGCUCGCCUGGAAAGCGAGUACGGCUGAAAGGCCCCGCGGGUUCGAGUCCCGUGUCCUCCGCCA
rnacentral:tRNA from 1 species